AGAGUUUGAUCCUGGCUCAGGAUGAACGCUAGCGGCAGGCUUAACACAUGCAAGUCGAGGGGCAGCAUAAUGGAUAGCAAUAUCUAUGGUGGCGACCGGCGCACGGGUGCGUAACGCGUAUGCAACCUACCUUUAACAGGGGGAUAACACUGAGAAAUUGGUACUAAUACCCCAUAAUAUCAUAGAAGGCAUCUUUUAUGGUUGAAAAUUCCGAUGGUUAGAGAUGGGCAUGCGUUGUAUUAGCUAGUUGGUGGGGUAACGGCUCACCAAGGCGACGAUACAUAGGGGGACUGAGAGGUUAACCCCCCACACUGGUACUGAGACACGGACCAGACUCCUACGGGAGGCAGCAGUGAGGAAUAUUGGUCAAUGGACGCAAGUCUGAACCAGCCAUGCCGCGUGCAGGAUGACGGCUCUAUGAGUUGUAAACUGCUUUUGUACGAGGGUAAACGCAGAUACGUGUAUCUGUCUGAAAGUAUCGUACGAAUAAGGAUCGGCUAACUCCGUGCCAGCAGCCGCGGUAAUACGGAGGAUUCAAGCGUUAUCCGGAUUUAUUGGGUUUAAAGGGUGCGUAGGCGGUUUGAUAAGUUAGAGGUGAAAUUUCGGGGCUCAACCCUGAACGUGCCUCUAAUACUGUUGAGCUAGAGAGUAGUUGCGGUAGGCGGAAUGUAUGGUGUAGCGGUGAAAUGCUUAGAGAUCAUACAGAACACCGAUUGCGAAGGCAGCUUACCAAACUAUAUCUGACGUUGAGGCACGAAAGCGUGGGGAGCAAACAGGAUUAGAUACCCUGGUAGUCCACGCAGUAAACGAUGAUAACUCGUUGUCGGCGAUACACAGUCGGUGACUAAGCGAAAGCGAUAAGUUAUCCACCUGGGGAGUACGUUCGCAAGAAUGAAACUCAAAGGAAUUGACGGGGGCCCGCACAAGCGGAGGAACAUGUGGUUUAAUUCGAUGAUACGCGAGGAACCUUACCCGGGCUUGAAAGUUAGCGACGAUUCUUGAAAGAGGAUUUCCCUUCGGGGCGCGAAACU
rnacentral:rRNA from 1 species